CCUCAGACGGCGGCGAGGAGCGGCGGCGGCGGCGGCGGAGCAAGCCGAGCCCGUACCAACUAGAGCUCGGGUUCCAGGAGUUGCUGCGGCCACGGCGGCGGCCGGGGAGCUCCGGGACGGCGGAGGCGGGCUGCAGGAGGUCGGGGGAGUUACCACGGGGUGGCCCAAGGUGGCGGCGGCGCUGGGAAGAGGCCGCACACGGCAUUCAGCUCGGGCUCGGGUUGGGCGGCUGCAGCCGGCCGAGGCGGCGGCGGCGGCGCGCUGGGGCGGCGGCGACCGGCGGGAAAGGGUGCCG
rnacentral:lncRNA from 1 species